AUCUGUAACCAUAUACAUCUACCUAUAGCAGGGUGCAAAAAUAAACAGUCAGAAGAAGAAAAAUAUCAAAAAGUAAAUAAAAAAUUAUAGUACUUGUACUAUGCUGUUGACUUGAGAAUAAUUAGCGAAUGAAUGAAGCCUAAGUUUGGUUUGAGUGAUUGUGUACGAGGGGUUUUGAAGUUAUGGAGAAGUUGUGAUCCAUAAGUAAGAAAAAUGAAAAUAGUCUAUCGAUCUAAUUUUAAAGACGUAAUAAAUUUUUCAUGGUUUCAUGCUUAUGCUGCAAUUUAGUUCCUUGCAAGAUCAACCAAAUUAAUUUGUCGGUCAAACCUUAAAAUUUGAUUUUGAUGCAUGUCAUGUUCAUCUAUAAUCUGAUUAGAAUGCAAUAAUCUAGAAGCACUAAAGUGGGGGUAUUGAGAACAAAAUUGUCAAAGAAAAUCUAAUGAAAUGAAAGUAAAGACAAUCAUAUAAAGCAUUCGAUUAUUAUCUCUUAGGAAAUCUAAGAACCUGCCAUUAGUUUAGUAUCAGAAAGACUUCAAGUUUAG
rnacentral:misc_RNA from 1 species